rnacentral:tRNA from 2 species
GCACCUAUGGCGGAAGUGGCAGACGCGUAUGGUUCAGGUCCAUAUGAAUGAAAAUUCGUGCAAGUUCAAGUCUUGUUAGGUGCACCA